GUACCGUCAAGCUCUACGGAUAUUACCCGCAGAGUUUUCUUCCCAAUCUGACAGAGCUUUACAACCCAGAGGGCCUUCUUCACUCACGCGGCGUCGCUCCGUCAGGGUUUCCCCCCAUUGCGGAAGCUUCUCG
rnacentral:rRNA from 1 species